CAGCGAGCGGCUCUCGGCCCGGCUGCCUUCAGCGCUGCUCCCGCGUGCGAGGUGCUGCCAUGGGCAGGCCGUGCCGCUGGCUCCCCGGGCAGCCCCGGCCCUGCAGGAAGCACCUCGCAUCCAAGAGAAGAAAGCCUUACAUGGCACAAUUUGGAUGAUGUCUGCCUAUUACCAGAAAAAGAUAAUGAUGUGAGAGCCAAAUGAAAGGACAACACAUAAUACCAUAUACAAGGAAAAUCAGAGGAGAUCUUGAGUGAGCAAAGAAGAUGUACAUGAUGGAAUUAUUUACCAGAAAUGGAAAAAGAGAAAUUAUUUUGGAACUACAAGCUGCAGACAUGGCAAAAUGAUGAUGGAAGUUAUACCAAAGCUUGCUAUUCCCAGAGGAAGACCAGGUCCAUCUACACCACC